UACGAAGGGGGCUAGCGUUGCUCGGAAUCACUGGGCGUAAAGCGCACGUAGGCGGAUUGCUAAGUCAGGGGUGAAAUCCUGGAGCUCAACUCCAGAACUGCCUUUGAUACUGGGAAGCUCGAGUCCGGGAGAGGUGAGUGGAACUCCGAGUGUAGAGGUGAAAUUCGUAGAUAUUCGGAAGAACACCAGUGGCGAAGGCGGCUCACUGGCCCGGUACUGACGCUGAGGUGCGAAAGCGUGGGGAGCGAACAGG
rnacentral:rRNA from 1 species